UACGUAGGGGGCAAGCGUUGUCCGGAUUUAUUGGGCGUAAAGAGCGUGUAGGCGGCCUUACAGGUCAGCUGUGAAAACUCGAGGCUCAACCUCGAGACGUCGGUUGAAACCGUAUGGCUAGAGUCCGGAAGAGGAGAGUGGAAUUCCCGGUGUAGCGGUGAAAUGCGCAGAUAUCGGGAAGAACACCCGUGGCGAAGGCGGGCCUC
rnacentral:rRNA from 1 species